rnacentral:rRNA from 1 species
UCGCGNCGGUGUGCGCAGAAGGGUCUGGGCUCGAGCCUGCCUGGAGCCGCCGCCGGUGCAGAUCUUGGUGGUAGUAGCAAAUACUCCAGCGAGGCCCUGGAGGACUGAUGUGGAGAAGGGUUUCGUGUGAACAGCCGUUGCACACGAGUCAGUCGAUCCUAAGCCCUAGGAGAAAUCCGAUGCAAACGGCGAUGGGAAACG